GACAGCAGUCGCCGCGGUAAUACGAAGGGGGCUAGCGUUGCUCGGAAUGACUGGGCGUAAAGGGCGCGUAGGCGGUGGCCAAAGUCAGGCGUGAAAUUCCUGGGCUCAACCUGGGGGCUGCGCUUGAUACUUGGUUGCUUGAGUGGGGAAGAGGGUCGUGGAAUUCCCAGUGUAGAGGUGAAAUUCGUAGAUAUUGGGAAGAACACCGGUGGCGAAGGCGGCGACCUGGUCCUUGACUGACGCUGAGGCGCGAAAGCGUGGGGAGCAAACAGGAUUAGAUACCCGCGUAGUCCCUGUCUCUUAUAA
rnacentral:rRNA from 1 species